rnacentral:rRNA from 1 species
CCCUUAUAUAUCCUGGGCUGCACGCGUGCUACACUGAUGCAUACAACAAGCUCCGAGACCGAAAGGUCAAGGUAAUCUCUAAUAUGCAUCGUGAUGGGGAUAGACCCUUGCAAUUAUGGGUCUUGAACGAGGAAUUCCUAGUAAAUGCAAGUCAUCAUCUUGCGUUGACUACGUCCCUGCCCUUUGUACACACCGCCCGUCGCACCUACCGAUUGAAUGGUCCGGUGAAAUCUUCGGAUCUGAGAGAUGUCUGAUUAAUUUCGGACGCCUUUUGGAAAAGUUGUUUAAACCUUACCAUUUAGAGGAAGGUGAAGUCGUANCA